AUUGAACGCUAGCGGCAUGCUUUACACAUGCAAGUCGAACGGCAGCGCGGGCUUCGGCCUGGCGGCGAGUGGCGAACGGGUGAGUAAUAUAUCGGAACGGACCCAAGAGUGGGGGAUAACGUAGCGAAAGUUACGCUAAUACCGCAUACGAUCUACGGAUGAAAGUGGGGGACCGCAAGGCCGCAUGCUCCUGGAGCGGCCGAUAUCUGAUUAGCUAGUUGGUAGGGUAAAGGCCUACCAAGGCAUCGAUCAGUAGCUGGUCUGAGAGGACGACCAGCCACACUGGAACUGAGACACGGUCCAGACUCCUACGGGAGGCAGCAGUGGGGAAUUUUGGACAAUGGGGGCAACCCUGAUCCAGCAAUGCCGCGUGAGUGAAGAAGGCCUUCGGGUUGUAAAGCUCUUUUGUCAGGGAAGAAACGGUUGUGGCUAAUAUCCAUGACUAAUGACGGUACCUGAAGAAUAAGCACCGGCUAACUACGUGCCAGCAGCCGCCGUAAAAC
rnacentral:rRNA from 1 species